UACGUAGGGGGCAAGCGUUGUCCGGAUUUAUUGGGCGUAAAGAGCGUGUAGGCGGCCAGGUAGGUCCGUUGUGAAAACUAGAGGCUUAACCUCUAGACGUCGAUGGAAACCAUCUGGCUAGAGUCCGGAAGAGGAGAGUGGAAUUCCUGGUGUAGCGGUGAAAUGCGCAGAUAUCAGGAAGAACACCCGUGGCGAAGGCGGCUCUCUGGGACGGUACUGACGCUGAGACGCGAAAGCGUGGGGAGCGAACAGG
rnacentral:rRNA from 1 species